GUGUCAGCAGCCGCGGUAAUACGAAGGUCCCAAGCGUUAUCCGGAUUUAUUGGGUUUAAAGGGUGCGUAGGCGGCUUAUUAAGUCAGUGGUGAAAGCCCCAAGCUUAACUUGGGAACUGCCAUUGAUACUGAUGAGCUUGAGUAGAUUUGAGGCGGGCGGAAUGUGUCGUGUAGCGGUGAAAUGCUUAGAUAUGACACAGAACACCAAUUGCGUAGGCAGCUCGCUAAACUCUUACUGACGCUGAGGCACGAAAGCAUGGGGAUCAAACAGGAUUAGAAACCCUCGUAGUCC
rnacentral:rRNA from 1 species